rnacentral:rRNA from 1 species
GAUGAACGCUGGCGGCGUGCCUAAUACAUGCAAGUCGAGCGAACAGACGAGGAGCUUGCUCCUCUGACGUUAGCGGCGGACGGGUGAGUAACACGUGGAUAACCUACCUAUAAGACUGGGAUAACUUCGGGAAACCGGAGCUAAUACCGGAUAAUAUAUAGAACCGCAUGGUUCAAUAGUGAAAGACGGUUUUGCUGUCACUUAUAGAUGGAUCCGCGCCGCAUUAGCUAGUUGGUAAGGUAACGGCUUACCAAGGCAACGAUGCGUAGCCGACCUGAGAGGGUGAUCGGCCACACUGGAACUGAGACACGGUCCAGACUCCUACGGGAGGCAGCAGUAGGGAAUCUUCCGCAAAGGGCGAAAGCCUGACGGAGCAACGCCGCGUGAGUGAUGAAGGUCUUCGGAUCGUAAAACUCUGUUAUUAGGGAAGAACAAAUGUGUAAGUAACUAUGCACGUCUUGACGGUACCUAAUCAGAAAGCCACGGCUAACUACGUG